rnacentral:misc_RNA from 1 species
AGCAGCCGCGGUAAUUCCAGCUCCAAUAGCGUAUAUUAAAGUUGUUGCAGUUAAAAAGCUCGUAGUUGAAUUUCGGGGUUAGCAGGUCGGUCGUGCCAUCGGUAUGAACUGGUCUCGCUGAUCCCUCCCUCUUGACGAACUGUGAUGCCAUUAAUUUGGUGUCGCAGGGAAUCAGGACUGUUACUUUGAAAAAAUUAGAGUGUUUAAAGCAGGCUCACGCUUGAAUACAUUAGCAUGGAAUAAUGAAAUAGGACGUUUGAUCCUAUUUUGUUGGUUUCUAGGAUUGACGUAAUGAUUAAUAGGGAUAGUUGGGGGCAUUAGUAUUCAAUUGUCAGAGGUGAAAUUCUUGGAUUUAUUGAAGACUAACUACUGCGAAAGCAUUUGCCAAGGAUGUUUUCAUUAAUCAAGAACGAAAGUUAGGGGAUCGAAGACGAUCAGAUACCGUCGUAGUCUUAACCAUAAACUAUGCCGACUA